rnacentral:rRNA from 1 species
UACAGAGGUCUCAAGCGUUGUUCGGAUUCAUUGGGCGUAAAGGGUGCGUAGGUGGCGCUGUAAGUCGGGUGUGAAAUUUCGGAGCUUAACUCCGAAACUGCAUUCGAUACUGCGGUGCUUGAGGACUGGAGAGGAGACUGGAAUUCAUGGUGUAGCAGUGAAAUGCGUAGAGAUCAUGAGGAAGACCAGUGGCGAAGGCGGGUCUCUGGACAGUUCCUGACACUGAGGCACGAAGGCCAGGGGGAGCAAACGGG